CUCCAACCCCUGUGACAUACCUUAAUGUUGCCUCGGCGGAUCAGCCCGCGCCCCGUAAAACGGGACGGCCCGCCAGAGGACCCAAACUCUAAUGUUUCUUAUUGUAACUUCUGAGUAAAACAAACAAAUAAAUCAAAACUUUCAACAACGGAUCUCUUGGUUCUGGCAUCGAUGAAGAACGCAGCAAAAUGCGAUAAGUAAUGUGAAUUGCAGAAUUCAGUGAAUCAUCGAAUCUUUGAACGCACAUUGCGCCCGCUGGUAUUCCGGCGGGCAUGCCUGUUCGAGCGUCAUUUCAACCCUCAAGCCCCCGGGUUUGGUGUUGGGGAUCGGCUCUGCCCUUCUGGGCGGUGCCGCCCCCGAAAUACAUUGGCGGUCUCGCUGCAGCCUCCAUUGCGUAGUAGCUAACACCUCGCAACUGGAACGCGGCGCGGCCAUGCCGUAAAACCCCAACUUCUGAAUGUUGACCUCGGAUCAGGUAGGAAUACCCGCUGAACUUAAGCAUGUCAAUAAGCGGAGGAAAAGAAACCAACAGGGAUUGCCCUAGUAACGGCGAGUGAAGCGGCAACAGCUCAAAUUUGAAAUCUGGCUUUCGGGCCCGAGUUGUAAUUUGUAGAGGAUACUUUUGAUGCGGUGCCUUCCGAGUUCCCUGGAACGGGACGCCAUAGAGGGUGAGAGCCCCGUCUGGUUGGAUGCCAAAUCUCUGUAAAGUUCCUUCGACGAGUCGAGUAGUUUGGGAAUGCUGCUCUAAAUGGGAGGUAUAUGUCUUCUAAAGCUAAAUAUUGGCCAGAGACCGAUAGCGCACAAGUAGAGUGAUCGAAAGAUG
rnacentral:rRNA from 1 species